CAGUAGCCGCGGUAAUACGGAGGGUGCAAGCGUUAAUCGGAAUUACUGGGCGUAAAGCGUGCGUAGGCGGUUCGUUAAGUCUGUUGUGAAAGCCCCGGGCUCAACCUGGGAAUGGCAAUGGAUACUGGCGAGCUAGAGUGUGUCAGAGGAUGGUGGAAUUCCCGGUGUAGCGGUGAAAUGCGUAGAGAUCGGGAGGAACAUCAGUGGCGAAGGCGGCCAUCUGGGACAACACUGACGCUGAGGCACGAAAGCGUGGGGAGCAAACAGGAUUAGAUACCCGUGUAGUCCCUGUCUCUUAUAC
rnacentral:rRNA from 1 species